UGCUAAUUGUGAGCGCUGGGGCAGGAACAACUGUCCCCAGUGAAGCCAGCUGAACCAGUCUUCAGUGCCAGAAAUGCAGUAUCAGCAAUGACAGCAAGGCCCCAGGCACUAGCAGAAGGAGUAUUGGUGGCUUGGCAGGGUUGAAAUCCCUGCAGAAACAUGUGGGGCAGACAAGGUCUGCUGUGGUCCCUCGCUCUCCUACUCUUCCAUGGGGACAAGCUAUCUGCUGCACAAAGCCAGAACAGCCGGCUGGAGCUGGAGAGACACUCAAGUGUGGCACACACAGCAAUCCUCCUUCCAGCCCAGUUCAGUCCUGCUCCCUUCUACCCAGCUGGGCUCGUGGAUCCCUGCAAAGGGAAAAACUCAGGCUGGACUUGCACAGCAAGAGAAGAAAGGUCCUGGAGCCUGAAGUAUGGCUCAGCCAAAGCCUUGGCAUCACAGCUGUGACUUCAGAAGGGAGAUGAUGGACUCAAGGCAGGUAGCAAGGAGCACUUGCACACCUUUAUCUUGUUCUGACACCACACAGACAAAGCCUGACAGCACCGGACUUCCCAGGCUAAUCACUGCAACCUUUGGCUCAAGUCCACAGGCAUUUUGCUCAUCCAAGCACCAGGUUACUCAUUAGCGCCCCUUGAUUACAGCGCUGCAUUCACCCCCACACCAUCUCACAGAGCACGCAGAAAAACCAGGAAAGAUUAAGGGAAAAGGCACCGUGGAAAGUAACAAGUAAAGGACAAAUUCCGGACAAGAAGAAACUAAAUAAAUUAGAACAUGCCAGCUGGCUAAGAGGGGACAGAAUCAACAUCUGAAAAAUAAUGAAAUGGAAUGAUGUGGUAAAAAGGGGAAUUAUUUACUGUAUGCAAUAAAGGAAGUCGGGAAGCCUGUUUUAAACUGGCAGCAAUUUAGAAACAAAAGGAAAUGCUUUUUCAUAAAACAAUUACAGUGUGGAACUCAGUGCCCACAGGGGCUGGUCGAGGCAGAGCAGCACACAGGUUCAAAUGGAGAUCAGAGGAAUGAACAAUGAAUACAUCCAGGAGAGGCUACCAAGCACGUCAGCCUCAGGAGCUGCUACACCACUCUUUGUUAGAAGCUGACAAGAUAGAGCAGGGGAAGAUAAUUCCAAAUACACAUCUAUUUUCUGACGCCCUUUUCCCAUCCCACUCUCACCGGCCUCUGCUGGAGGCAGGAUACUUACAAUAAUCUUUGAUCUGAUCUAGUGUGACAGCUGCUGUGUUCUCAUAAAUUUCACUGAGCUUCACAGAUCAUUGAAUCAUUUUCCAUGUUUAUUGUUACAGUGAACAACAGGACACGUUCCUUCCUUCACGACUUCGUGUUUUGCACAGAUGAUCUCAAAGGACAAACCCAACUCCCUCGGUAAAAUUCAAAUUCAAGCAAAUAUUAUGGAAACCAAACACAGUCUCUAGAAUAUUAUUCUGGUUUCACAUAUCAACAAUGAAGACACAAGGGACUACAUAGAAAACUUCCUGUGGGAUCUAGUGAGCCCUGCAUCUUCCUCAACAGAGUUAGACUGCAUUUUCAGUGUAGUAACCCUUUAUGGUUACUUACUGUAACAUCUCUGGUGCUUCUCGUGCCCAAGAAACCACUGAGCAACAAAGUUCACAGCAAUCCUCCAGGUUUACGAGGAGUUGUUUCAUUUGGACACAGCAUGCUCCCUUUGUUUACCUGCUGUUUGGUCUCAUGAUGCAACCCAACAUUCUCUAAUCAGUUCAGAGCGCUUGUAACACAGCCAGAGGCUUUGUCACCCACAGGAAACUGCGGGCUUAACAAACUUAUGCAGCCAGACAUCAUCGGUGAGUUAUUCUUGUACAAAAUUAAUAAAAAAUUAAUUAAUAAAACAAAACCCCUAACACAUGGACCAGGUUGCAGCCUUCUCCUUUCCACAUCUUUCUUGCUAAAACUCCACAGAGAGGGAGGCCAGGGCCCUGCAGCUGGUUAUGGAAAGGGCUGAGCAUCCGGCAAGGGAGCACAGCUGCCGGCCACAUGACACACGCCCGGUACCAGAGACACACGGAGCUCGCUCGUGGGCAAAUCCACUCCCACCACAGAGCAUCCUGGGAUUAUUUGCCACUUUGUGCUUUCUCCCACUGCCCCCCCAGAGGAUUUGGGACUAAACAUGAGAAAAAAAAGGCACUAAUCAUGAAUAAUGCAGUUCCAGUUGCAGUGCUUGAAAUGUUCAGCUCAAAAAUGUGUGCUCGCUGUUUCCUUCUACUUGCUGCUUAGGCAGGCCUGUGGAUGUCACUGCAUGGACACACCUGGAGUGGAUGUGAUCAGCACAGGUAUAAAGAUCAGAAUUAACUCCAAAUUCCUCUGCUUUCAAGGAACUGUUUAGUUUAAUGAUUAAAACCUCAUGAGUGCCUGGAUUUUGUGAACACCUGUCAGUGUUCUUUGGAAGAAAAGGUAUUUGCUUGCUUAUUUAUUUGAAAACUGAAGCUAUAUACUAGUCAAAGGAAUUUUAUUUGGUUUUUAAAACAGAAUUGAGAUGGCAGUUUCACCUGAGAAGUGAAGCUUCAGUGCAAAGCCAGCACACAAAGUUUCAACACCCAGCUUUUGUUCCUGUGAGCACUGACUUUGCUGCAGGGGGGCAGUUAGAACUGAGCUCUGCACCUUUAAAUUUCUUACCCCUCUGCUUUUGUGGGUAGCUCUAUUAGGACCCCCAUACCUUUGCAGACUUAGGAAGCCUGCACACUUAAGCUGUAGAAAA